CGUCGAUCAUCGCUUGUGGGAAGAGCACCUCAGAGCUACAAUCAGCUGUACGUGAAGAUCUGAAGCUGCUACCGAUUGAAAAGCUCAGGAAACCGUUGUCAAUGGCCAUGCGCCGGAAAAAUGACAGUCUUUUUUCGAGACUCUCAAGCCCCUAUUUGUUCCAGGUUCUCGAGGCUGGAACCACGACUAGAAUCAAGGUGCUCGAGGCUGUAACCAAGAGAAAAAAAAGAAAUUUUCGUCCCUGUACUUCUCCUCGGGACAGCCACAGCUCCACGGCUCCAUGGCUAUUCGC